rnacentral:rRNA from 1 species
ACGGAGGGUGCAAGCGUUAAUCGGAAUUACUGGGCGUAAAGCGCGCGUAGGCGGCUGGGUAAGUCAGAUGUGAAAGCCCCGGGCUCAACCUGGGAAUUGCAUUUGAUACUGCCUGGCUAGAGUCUGUCAGAGGGUGGCGGAAUUCCGGGUGUAGCGGUGAAAUGCGUAGAUAUCCGGAGGAACACCAGUGGCGAAGGCGGCCACCUGGGACGAGACUGACGCUGAGGUGCGAAAGCGUGGGGAGCAAACAGG